rnacentral:tRNA from 1 species
GCCGAAGUGGUGGAACUGGUAGACGCGCUGGCUUCAGGAGCCAGUGGGCGCAAGCCCGUGCGGGUUCGAGUCCCGCCUUCGGCA